GCUCAGAUUGAACGCUGGCGGCAUGCCUUACACAUGCAAGUCGAACGGCAGCGCGGGAGCAAUCCUGGCGGUGAGUGGCGAACGGGUGAGUAAUACAUCGGAACGUGCCCAAUCGUGGGGGAUAACGCAGCGAAAGCUGUGCUAAUACCGCAUACGAUCUACGGAUGAAAGCAGGGGAUCGCAAGACCUUGCGCGAAUGGAGCGGCCGAUGGCAGAUUAGGUAGUUGGUGAGGUAAAGGCUCACCAAGCCUUCGAUCUGUAGCUGGUCUGAGAGGACGACCAGCCACACUGGGACUGAGACACGGCCCAGACUCCUACGGGAGGCAGCAGUGGGGAAUUUUGGACAAUGGGCGCAAGCCUGAUCCAGCCAUGCCGCGUGCAGGAUGAAGGCCUUCGGGUUGUAAACUGCUUUUGUACGGAACGAAACGGCCUUUUCUAAUAAAGAGGGCUAAUGACGGUACCGUAAGAAUAAGCACCGGCUAACUACGUGCCAGCAGCCGCGGUAAUACGUAGGGUGCAAGCGUUAAUCGGAAUUACUGGGCGUAAAGCGUGCGCAGGCGGUUAUGUAAGACAGUUGU
rnacentral:rRNA from 1 species